GUGAAAGAUUAUCUAGAAUAACAGUGCCUCCAACAAGGCCCUAGUUAGCGGCCAGGAUUGAAGGGUUUACUAAUUGUCUUUGAGAGACAUAGGCUGCAAAAAUGAAAUUUCAUGCUAGUAAGAUAUCAUAUAUCUUGAUACGUGAAAUUUUCGGGGAUCUUGGUGUAGGACGAAACAUUUGCUUAGUCUUAAUGCUAGACAUAAUAGUUUAUUAGUAGCCGGAGAUCCAACGAAAGCAGAGCUCUGGUCAAACAAUGAUGGCCACCACCUUUCUGGAUGUAAGAGGUCCACAUCAUAAGGUGUUAGUUUAUGCUGGCCGAAGUUUCAUGACAUUCCAGAAUUAGUAAGCUCUUGGAAGAUUUAGCUUGGCUCCUAAACCCUAGACAUCUAGUAGAUGCGAUCAC
rnacentral:misc_RNA from 1 species